GUAGUCUGCAACCCGACUACAUGAAGCUGGAAUCGCUAGUAAUCGCGGAUCAGAAUGCCGCGGUGAAUACGUUCCCGGGUCUUGUACACACCGCCCGUCACGACCAUGGGAGUCGGAAAUGCCCGAAGUCUGUGACCCAACCUACGGGAGGGAGCAGCCGAAGGCAGGUCGGAUGACUGGGUGAAGUCGUAACAAGGUACC
rnacentral:rRNA from 1 species